AGCCUAGGCCAGCAGGGUAGAUACCAUGAUCGUGAAGGUGGUUUUCCUAGGGUGAGGUUCAUCCAUUGCACUCCGGGUGUGCUGACCCCUGGAAUUUCCCCGAAUGCGGGAAACUUGACUGCAUAAUUUGUUCUUGUAAACCGCCCAGAGAGCUUCGGCUAUGGGGUGG